UACGGAGGGUGCAAGCGUUGUCCGGAUUCAUUGGGUUUAAAGGGUGCGUAGGCGGUUUAUUAAGUCAGUGGUGAAAGUCUGCGGCUCAACCGUAGAAUUGCCACUGAUACUGAUAGACUUGAGUUAAGUUGAGGCAGGCGGAAUUCGUGGUGUAGCGGUGAAAUGCAUAGAUACCACGAAGAACACCGAUAGCGUAGGCAGCUUGCUAAGCUUAUACUGACGCUGAGGCACGAAAGCGUGGGGAGCGAACAGG
rnacentral:misc_RNA from 1 species